UAGGCAUGCGAGUCGCGCGAGAAGGUAGCAAUACCGGAAAGCGGCGAAAGGGAGAGGAAUAGGUGGGAAUCUGCCCCUGGACCGGGGAUAGCUACGGGAAACUGUAGGUAAUACCCGAUAACGUCGAAAGACCAAAGGUGUGAUUCCGUCUGGGGAUGAGCCCACCUCCUAUUAGCUAGUUGUUAGGGUAAUGGCCUAACAAGGCAUUGAUGGGUAGCUGGUGUGAGAGCACGACCAGCCUCACUGGCACUGAGACACUGGCCAGACACCUACGGGUGGCUGCAGUCGAGAAUCUUCGGCAAUGGACGAAAGUCUGACCGAGCGACGCCGCGUGCGGGAUGAAGGCCUUCGGGUUGUAAACCGCUGUCGUAGGGGAUCAAAUGCAUUUGGGUACUCCCUUUUGCUUGAGAGAUCCUAGGAGGAAGGAGAGGCUAAGCUCGUGCCAGCAGCCGCGGUAAGACGAGCUCUCCAAACGUUAUUCGGUAUUACUGGGCUUAAAGAGUUCGUAGGCGGUCUUGUAGGUGAGGUGUGAAAGCCCUCGGCUUAACCGAGGAAUUGCGCUUCAAACCACAAGGCUUGAGGGAGGUAGGGGUAUGCGGAACAGAUGGUGGAGCGGUGAAAUGCGUUGAUAUCAUCUGGAACACCGGUGGCGAAAGCGGCAUACUGGACCUUUUCUGACGCUGAGGAACGAAAGCUAGGGUAGCGAACGGGAUUAGAUACCCCGGUAGUCCUAGCCGUAAACGAUGAGCACUAGUCUGUAGGGACCCUCAUAUCCUUUCGGACGUAGCGAAAGUGUUAAGUGCUCCGCCUG
rnacentral:rRNA from 1 species